rnacentral:tRNA from 1 species
GGUGGCUCAGUGGUAGAGUGCUUGCCUUGCAUGCAAGAGGCCCUGGGUUCUAUUCUUCAGUACCA